CUAAAAUUAGAAAUAUUUCAUCUAUAUUUUUUAUAAAAGCUUAUAUAUCUCAAUAUUUAAAAAAUAAUUUAUUCUCUAUAUCUCUUAUUGAUAUCUUACCUAUAUAAUCUGCAAUGGGAGAGUAAAUAGAUCAACCUUUAGUUUUUAUAUAAAAGUUAUUCUCUAAAAAUAACAUUCCUUCAAAAAUGAGAUAUACUAUAUAACAGGUUGCCAAGAUGCCAACCACAGUCGAUUAGUUGACCACACUAUAAUUUUUACUCUCUUGCAACUUUUUGGAAACAAAUUUUGUUAAACAUAACCCAUCUAAUUGAAAAUCAUAUUGAUAUUGUUUAGUCUUUUCAAUUUAUCAUAUAACAAAAUGUUCAUAUGUCAGGCUGCUGUGAUAAAGUACCAAUAGCAUACUACCAGAUGCCAGAGUCAGAUGUGAAAUAAUAUGAAGGAUUCAUCAAAACUUGAACUCAGUGUAAUCUUGAAUAAAUUAGAAAUAAAUAAAAGUUUGACAGAUUAUAUAAAGAAAAGCAUAAAAGCAGGAUUAAAUUCUAAAUAAUUAGCCUAUCAGUAAAUGUGCUUUUGUAUUUUUCUUUACAUAAUUUGUUGACAAUAGCAAAGGAUUUAAUUUCCAAUUUAAAGUAAAGUUUGGCAGAUUUUUAUAAGUACAUAUUUCCCUUAUAUGCCAUAAUAGUCCAAAAUAGAAUUCUGUUGCAUGCAUAAGAAUACUAAUAUAUGUUCGAUACUAAGUUUUGGAACCUACUUUAUAAGGAAAACUAUCCAAGUAUGUGGAGAGUUGUGGCAUAUCUCAGUUCAUUUUUUAGUGCCAUUUAUUUAUUGGAAUUAACAUUCUCUUCAAUAAAUUCCAUUAAAAAAACAUCACCCUCCUUUGAUGUCGAUCAUUUUCCUUUGAGGAGAUAUGCAUUUGAUAUCAUGUUUAUAAAUAAUAAAUUCUUAUAAAUCAUAAUAUGAAAAAGUUAUUAUAAAUAUUCAGUACCAAGUUUUAGGAACAUUUUUGAAAAAUUAUUAAUUAGGAUUCAUUUGUGUGUUAUAUUUUUUGUGUCAACUUGAUUGACUUUAUUCUCUUCUAUUCUUCUUAUUUAUAAUUUAUAUUUGGAUACUUUCUUUACUUACAUGUAUGAUGAUGAUAAAAUGUCUGUAUCUAUGGCAGUCAUAAUCCUUUAGAAAAUAAAAACAAAAUCUUGUAAAUUUGAUACCAGGUUCGUAUUGAAUAUAUAAAUUGAAUUGCCAAAUAUAAUCAAAUUGGAAUUGGGUUUAGAAAAAUUGUGUGCGCUAUAAAAAAAAAAUGCAUAAAUAAUCACUUAAAAUUAAUUUUUCAGAUUUUUAUUCAAAUUUAGAUGUUGUUGGAUUCUGCAAUUACUAGAGAAGGUCUAAGGUUUCUCUAAUCUGAAUUGGACCAAUAAUUUGUGGAGAUCUGCCAAAAACUUAUUUUUUUUUUUAU
rnacentral:lncRNA from 1 species